rfam:Absidia glauca strain CBS 101.48 genome assembly, contig: contig_6446
AGGUCGGUGAUGAAUGACAUUAUGUUGGAAUUACCGUCUGAUUAACUUCUGAAGACGAUUUGUGCUGGCUGCAAUCCUGAGAUCUAUU